ACUCCUACGGGAGGCAGCAGUGGGGAAUCUUGGACAAUGGGGGCAACCCUGAUCCAGCCAUGCCGCGUGAGUGAUGAAGGCCCUAGGGUCGUAAAGCUCUUUCGCCUGUGAAGAUAAUGACGGUAGCAGGUAAAGAAACCCCGGCUAACUCCGUGCCAGCAGCCGCGGUAAUACGGAGGGGUUAGCGUUGUUCGGAAUUACUGGGGCGUAAAGCGCACGUAGGCGGAUCGGAAAGUUGGGGGUGAAAUCCCGGGGCUCAACCCCGGAACUGCCUCCAAACUAUCGGUCUAGAGUUCGAGAGAGGUGAGUGGAAUUCCGAGUGUAGAGGUGAAAUUCGUAGAUAUUCGGAGGAACACCAGUGGCGAAGGCGGCUCACUGGCUCGAUACUGACGCUGAGGUGCGAAAGUGUGGGGAGCAAACAGGAUUAGAUACCCUGGUAGGAUAGCG
rnacentral:rRNA from 1 species